CAUGGACAAAGGAUCCCGUCGGA
rnacentral:rasiRNA from 1 species